GAACGGGUGAGUAACACGUGGGUGAUCUGCCCUGCACUUUGGGAUAAGCCUGGGAAACUGGGUCUAAUACCGAAUAGGACCACGCGCUUCAUGGUGUGUGGUGGAAAGCUUUUGCGGUGUGGGAUGGGCCCGCGGCCUAUCAGCUUGUUGGUGGGGUAAUGGCCUACCAAGGCGACGACGGGUAGCCGGCCUGAGAGGGUGACCGGCCACACUGGGACUGAGAUACGGCCCAGACUCCUACGGGAGGCAGCAGUGGGGAAUAUUGCACAAUGGGCGCAAGCCUGAUGCAGCGACGCCGCGUGAGGGAUGACGGCCUUCGGGUUGUAAACCUCUUUCAAUAGGGACGAAGCGCAAGUGACGGUACCUAUAGAAGAAGCACCGGCCAACUACGUGCCAGCAGCCGCGGUAAUACGUAGGGUGCGAGCGUUGUCCGGAAUUACUGGGCGUAAAGAGCUCGUAGGUGGUUUGUCGCGUUGUUCGUGAAAACUCACAGCUUAACUGUGGGCGUGCGGGCGAUACGGGCAGACUAGAGUACUGCAGGGGAGACUGGAAUUCCUGGUGUAGCGGUGGAAUGCGCAGAUAUCAGGAGGAACACCGGUGGCGAAGGCGGGUCUCUGGGCAGUAACUGACGCUGAGGAGCGAAAGCGUGGGGAGCGAACAGGAUUAGAUACCCUGGUAGUCCACGCCGUAAACGGUGGGUACUAGGUGUGGGUUCCUUCCUUGGGAUCCGUGCCGUAGCUAACGCAUUAAGUACCCCGCCUGGGGAGUACGGCCGCAAGGCUAAAACUCAAAGGAAUUGACGGGGGCCCGCACAAGCGGCGGAGCAUGUGGAUUAAUUCGAUGNCACGCGAAGAACCUUACCUGGGUUUGA
rnacentral:rRNA from 1 species